UUGUUACUUUGGCAGAUUAGUGCAAUGAAUUUAGAAUUCAAAAAUAUAAUUUUUAUUAUAAGUA
rnacentral:tRNA from 1 species